AUCAUGCAGUCGAGCGACUGAUUAGAAGCUUGCUUCUAUGACGUUAGCGGCGGACGGGUGAGUAACACGUGGGCAACCUGCCUGUAAGAUUGGGAUAACUUCGGGAAACCGAAGCUAAUACCGGAUAGGAUCUUCUCCUUCAUGGGAGAUGAUUGAAAGAUGGUUUCGGCUAUCACUUACAGAUGGGCCCGCGGUGCAUUAGCUAGUUGGUGAGGUAACGGCUCACCAAGGCAACGAUGCAUAGCCGACCUGAGAGGGUGAUCGGCCACACUGGGACUGAGACACGGCCCAGACUCCUACGGGGGGCAGCAGUAGGGAAUCUUCCGCAAUGGACGAAAGUCUGACGGAGCAACGCCGCGUGAGUGAUGAAGGCUUUCGGGUCGUAAAACUCUGUUGUUAGGGAAGAACAAGUACAAGAGUAACUGCUUGUACCUUGACGGUACCUAACCAGAAAGCCACGGCUAACUACGUGCCAGCAGCCGCGGUAAUACGUAGGUGGCAAGCGUUAUCCGGAAUUAUUGGGCGUAAAGCGCGCGCAGGCGGUUUCUUAAGUCUGAUGUGAAAGCCCACGGCUCAACCGUGGAGGGUCAUUGGAAACUGGGGAACUUGAGUGCAGAAGAGAAAAGCGGAAUUCCACGUGUAGCGGUGAAAUGCGUAGAGAUGUGGAGGAACACCAGUGGCGAAGGCGGCUUUUUGGUCUGUAACUGACGCUGAGGCGCGAAAGCGUGGGGAGCAAACAGGAUUAGAUACCCUGGUAGUCCACGCCGUAAACGAUGAGUGCUAAGUGUUAGAGGGUUUCCGCCCUUUAGUGCUGCAGCUAACGCAUUAAGCACUCCGCCUGGGGAGUACGGUCGCAAGACUGAAACUCAAAGGAAUUGACGGGGGCCCGCACAAGCGUGGAGCAUGUGGUUUAAUUCGAAGC
rnacentral:rRNA from 1 species